CGCAAGCCUGACGGAGCAAGACCGCGUGGGGGAGGAAGGCUCUUGGGUUGUAAACCCCUUUUCUCAGGGAAGAACCAAAUGACGGUACCUGAGGAAUCAGCCUCGGCUAACUCCGUGCCAGCAGCCGCGGUAAUACGGAGGAGGCAAGCGUUAUCCGGAAUGAUUGGGCGUAAAGCGUUCGUAGGUGGCUAUUCAAGUCUGCUGUCAAAGACAGAAGCUCAACUUCUGAAAGGCAGUGGAAACUGAGUAGCUGGAGUGCGGUAGGGGCAGAGGGAGUUCCCGGUGUAGCGGUGAAAUGCGUAGAGAUCGGGAAGAACACCGGUGGCGAAAGCGCUCUGCUGGGCCGCAACUGACACUGAGGGACGAAAGCUAGGGGAGCG
rnacentral:rRNA from 1 species